AUGCUAUUUGUUCUCUACCCUGCCCCUGUCACACCCUGGUCUUUGCCCACGUUUCAGGAGAAGGCUCCCAAAGAACCGGUCAAUGAGUGGUCAUUGAAGAUAAGAAAGAAAAUGAGAGUUGUGGACAGGCAAAUAAGAGAUAUCCAAAGAGGAAAAGAAAAAGUGAAAUGGUCUGUAAAAGAUGCUGCCAAGAAGGGCCAGAAGGAUGUCUGUGUAUUUCUGGCCAAGGAGAUGUUCAGGUCAAGGAAGGCUGUGAGCAAGCUGUAUGCAUCCAAAGCACACAUGAACUCAGUGCUGAUGGGGAUGAAGAACCAGAUCGCUGUCUUGCAAGUGGCUGGUUCCCUGUAGAAGAGCACAGAAUUGAUGAAGGCCAUGCAACGUCUUGUGAACAUUCCAGAAAUUCAGGCCACCAUGAGGGAGUUGUCCAAAGAAAUGAUGAAGGCUGGGAUCAUAGAGGAGAUGUUAGAGGACACUUUUGAAAGCAUGGACAAUCAGGAAGAAAUGGAGGAAGAAGCAGAAAUGGAAAUUGACAGAAUUCUGUUUGAAAUUACAGAAGGGGCCUUGGGCACAGCACCCAGUGAAGUGACCGAUGCCCUUCCAGAGGCAGAACCUUCAGGAGUGAUGGCCACCUCAGACGAUGAGAAGGAGGAAGAGGCUCUGGAGGCCAUGCAGUCCUGGCUGGCCACACUGCACAGUUAGGGGCUGCCUACCCCACUGGGUGUGCUCACAUUCCGCUCAAGAGCUGCCAUUUUAUGUAUCUCUUGCACUACAUCUCUGUUGUGAGGACUACCAUUUUGGAGAAGGUUCUGUUUGUCUCUUUUCACUCCCUGCCCAGGUUUUGGGAUCACAAAGGGAUUGUUCUUGUAAAGGUGGCAUAAAUAAAUGCAUCACUUUUAGGAGUAUAGACAGAAAUAUCUUAUUGUGGGGAAGGGAAAGAAAUCCAUUUGCUCAUGAAACACUUCUGAAAAUACAGGUGAUUGCUUGAAUGUCAAAAACUCUACUUUUGUCUAUAAAACACUAUAUAAAUGAAUUUUAAUAAAUUUUUGCUUUAGCACUUGGC